rnacentral:misc_RNA from 1 species
GAUGAAGAACGUAGCGAAAUGCGAUAAGUAAUGUGAAUUGCAGAAUUCAGUGAAUCAUCGAAUCUUUGAACGCACAUUGCGCCCUCUGGUAUUCCGGGGGGCAUGCCUGUUCGAGCGUCAUUAUAACCACUCAAGCUCUCGCUUGGUAUUGGGGCUCGCGGUUCCGCGGCCCCUAAAAUCAGUGGCGGUGCCUGUCGGCUCUACGCGUAGUAAUACUCCUCGCGAUUGAGUCCGGUAGGUCUACUUGCCAGCAACCCCCAAUUUUUACAGGUUGACCUCGGAUCAGGUAGGGAUACCCGCUGAACUUAAGCAUAUCAUAAGCGGAGA